AUUGAACGCUGGCGGCAGGCCUAACACAUGCAAGUCGAACGGUAACAGGGAUCAGCUUGCUGAUUCGCUGACGAGUGGCGGACGGGUGAGUAAUGUCUGGGAAACUGCCUGAUGGAGGGGGAUAACUACUGGAAACGGUAGCUAAUACUGCAUAACGUCGCAAGACCAAAGAGGGGGACCUUCGGGCCUCUUGCCAUCGGAUGUGCCCAGAUGGGAUUAGCUAGUAGGUGGGGUAACGGCUCACCUAGGCGACGAUCCCUAGCUGGUCUGAGAGGAUGACCAGCCACACUGGAACUGAGACACGGUCCAGACUCCUACGGGAGGCAGCAGUGGGGAAUAUUGCACAAUGGGCGCAAGCCUGAUGCAGCCAUGCCGCGUGUAUGAAGAAGGCCUUCGGGUUGUAAAGUACUUUCAGCGGGGAGGAAGGGAGUAAAGUUAAUACCUUUGCUCAUUGACGUUACCCGCAGAAGAAGCACCGGCUAACUCCGUG
rnacentral:rRNA from 1 species